AUGAACGCUGGCGGCGUGCCUAAUACAUGCAAGUCGAGCGAACGGACGAGAAGCUUGCUUCUCUGAUGUUAGCGGCGGACGGGUGAGUAACACGUGUAUAACCUACCUAUAAGACUGGGAUAACUUCGGGAAACCGGAGCUAAUACCGGAUGAUAUUUUGAACCGCAUGGUUCAAAAGUGAAAGACGGUCUUGCUGUCACUUAUAGAUGGAUCCGCGCUGCAUUAGCUAGUUGGUAAGGUAACGGCUUACCAAGGCAACGAUGCAUAGCCGACCUGAGAGGGUGAUCGGCCACACUGGAACUGAGACACGGUCCAGACUCCUACGGGAGGCAGCAGUAGGGAAUCUUCCGCAAUGGGCGAAAGCCUGACGGAGCAACGCCGCGUGAGUGAUGAAGGUCUUCGGAUCGUAAAACUCUGUUAUUAGGGAAGAACAUAUGUGUAAGUAACUGUGCACAUCUUGACGGUACCUAAUCAGAAAGCCACGGCUAACUACGUG
rnacentral:rRNA from 1 species